ACUCUAUGAGUCAGAUAUUACCAAUACAGGAUCACAAGUAUGAACAUUAAGACUCAGUCUCUACUGGCCAAUAUCUCCUAAAUGUGUCCUACCCUGUCUUCUUCAACACAACAGAAAAGGGUUAUGGUUAAGAAAUUGGCAUGAGUCUCAGAAGAAACUUUGAACUUUGGACUUUCAAAGAAUGUUGAGACUGUGAUAGACUAUGGGGACUUUUGACGUUGGACUAAAUGAAUUUUGUAUUAUUGCUAGAAGCCUAAGAAGGCCAUGGAGUGAAAUGUGGUUGUCUGAGUGAUAAUGGCCACCAAUAGCUUCAUAGAUUUAAAUACUUGGUCAUCAAGGAGAAGCACUAUUAGAAUGUGAGGACUUGUUGGAGGAAGAAUGUCACUGAGGGUGGACUUUGAGAUUUCACAAAGCUCAAGCCCAGAGAUUCCCUCCUUUCCUGCUGCCUGCACACUCAAGUGUAGAACUCUCAGCACUUUUCUAGAGCCAUGUCUUCCUGAAUGCUGCCGUGUUCCCCACCAUGGUGACAAUGGACUACACUUCUGAAACAGUAAGCAAGCCCCAAUUAAAAUCUUUCCUUUAUAAGA